ACGCUGGCGGCGUGCCUAAUACAUGCAAGUAGAACGCUGAAGGAGGAGCUUGCUUCUCUGGAUGAGUUGCGAACGGGUGAGUAACGCGUAGGUAACCUGCCUGGUAGCGGGGGAUAACUAUUGGAAACGAUAGCUAUACCGCAUAACAGUAGAUGUUGCAUGACAUUUGCUUAAAAGGUGCAAUUGCAUCACUACCAGAUGGACCUGCGUUGUAUUAGCUAGUUGGUGGGGUAACGGCUCACCAAGGCGACGAUACAUAGCCGACCUGAGAGGGUGAUCGGCCACACUGGGACUGAGACACGGCCCAGACUCCUACGGGAGGCAGCAGUAGGGAAUCUUCGGCAAUGGACGGAAGUCUGACCGAGCAACGCCGCGUGAGUGAAGAAGGUUUUCGGAUCGUAAAGCUCUGUUGUAAGAGAAGAACAGGUGUGAGAGUGGAAAGUUCACACUGUGACGGUAUCUUACCAGAAAGGGACGGCUAACUACGUGCCAGCAGCCGCGGUAAUACGUAGGUCCCGAGCGUUGUCCGGAUUUAUUGGGCGUAAAGCGAGCGCAGGCGGUUAGAUAAGUCUGAAGUUAAAGGCUGUGGCUUAACCAUAGUACGCCUUGGAAACUGUUUAACUUGAGUGCAAGAGGGGAGAGUGGAAUUCCAUGUGUAGCGGUGAAAUGCGUAGAUAUAUGGAGGAACACCGGUGGCGAAAGCGGCUCUCUGGCUUGUAACUGACGCUGAGGCUCGAAAGCGUGGGGAGCAAACAGGAUUAGAUACCCCUGGUAGUCCACGCCGUAAACGAUGAGUGCUAGGUGUUAGACCCUUUCCGGGGUUUAGUGCCGCAGCUAACGCAUUAAGCACUCCGCCUGGGGAGUACGACCGCAAGGUUGAAACUCAAAGGAAUUGAC
rnacentral:rRNA from 1 species